rnacentral:rRNA from 1 species
GAUGAACGCUGGCGGCGUGCCUAAUACAUGCAAGUCGAGCGAACAGACGAGGAGCUUGCUCCUCUGACGUUAGCGGCGGACGGGUGAGUAACACGUGGAUAACCUACCUAUAAGACUGGGAUAACUUCGGGAAACCGGAGCUAAUGCCGGAUAAUAUAUUGAACCGCAUGGUUCAAUAGUGAAAGACGGUUUUGCUGUCACUUAUAGAUGGAUCCGCGCCGCAUUAGCUAGUUGGUAAGGUAACGGCUUACCAAGGCAACGAUGCGUAGCCGACCUGAGAGGGUGAUCGGCCACACUGGAACUGAGACACGGUCCAGACUCCUACGGGAGGCAGCAGUAGGGAAUCUUCCGCAAUGGGCGAAAGCCUGACGGAGCAACGCCGCGCGAGUGAUGAAGGUCUUCGGAUCGUAAAACUCUGUUAUUAGGGAAGAACAAAUGUGUAAGUAACUAUGCACGUCUUGACGGUACCUAAUCAGAAAGCCACGGCUAACUACGUG